rnacentral:rRNA from 1 species
GAUGUAGGUAUGUAUCUUAGGCAAAUCCGGGGUACUCUAUACUGAGAUCCGAUAGCAAGCUGUACUUGUACAGUGAAGUGGCUGAUACCAUGCUUCCAGGAAAAGUCUCUAAGCUUCAGUUACACAGGAAUCGUACCCGAAACCGACACAGGUGGUCAGGUCGAGUAGACCAAGGCGCUUGAGAGAACUCUGCUGAAGGAACUAGGCAAAAUGGUACCGUAACUUCGGGAGAAGGUACGCUGUUGUUGGUGAUGGAACUUGCUUCCUGAGCUGACGACAGCCGCAGAAACCAGGCCGCUGCAACUGUUUAUUAAAAACAUAGCACUCUGCAAACACGAAAGUGGACGUAUAGGGUGUGAUGCCUGCCCGGUGCUGGAAGGUUAAUUGAUGGGGUUAGCGUAAGCGAAGCUCUUGAUCGAAGCCCCAGUAAACGGCGGCCGUAACUAUAACGGUCCUAAGGUAGCGAAAUUCCUUGUCGGGUAAGUUCCGACCUGCACGAAUGGCAUAAUGAUGGCGGCGCUGUCUCCAGCAGAGGCUCAGUGAAAUCGAAAUCGCUGUGAAGAUGCAGUGUACCCGCGGCUAGACGGAAAGACCCCGUGAACCUUUACUGCAGCUUGACACUGAACUUUGACCUUACUUGUGUAGGAUAGGUGGGAGGCUUUGAAGUUGGAACGCUAGUUCCAAUGGAGCCGUCCUUGAAAUACCACCCUGGUAAUGUUGAGGUUCUAACUCUGUCCCGUUAUCCGGGACGAGGACCGUGUCUGGUGGGUAGUUUGACUGGGGCGGUCUCCUCCUAAAGAGUAACGGAGGAGUACGAAGGUGCGCUCAGCGUGGUCGGAAAUCACGCGUAGAGUAUAAAGGCAAAAGCGCGCUUAACUGCGAGACCCACAAGUCGAGCAGGUACGAAAGUAGGUCUUAGUGAUCCGGUGGUUCUGUAUGGAAGGGCCAUCGCUCAACGGAUAAAAGGUACUCUGGGGAUAACAGGCUGAUACCGCCCAAGAGUUCAUAUCGACGGCGGUGUUUGGCACCUCGAUGUCGGCUCAUCUCAUCCUGGGGCUGAAGCAGGUCCCAAGGGUAUGGCUGUUCGCCAUUUAAAGAGGUACGCGAGCUGGGUUUAGAACGUCGUGAGACAGUUCGGUCCCUAUCUACCGUGGGCGCUGGAAAUUUGAGAGGAUCUGCUCCUAGUACGAGAGGACCAGAGUGGACGAACCUCUGGUGUACCGGUUGUGACGCCAGUCGCAUCGCCGGGUAGCUAUGUUCGGAAGGGAUAACCGCUGAAAGCAUCUAAGCGGGAAGCCUACCUCAAGAUAAGAUUUCCCUAGGAAUUUAUUCCUCUAAAGAGCCGUUCGAGACUAGGACGUUGAUAGGUUGGAUGUGGAAGCAUAGUGAUAUGUGAAGCUGACCAAUACUAAUUGCUCGUGAGGCUUGACUAUACAACACCCAAGCAGUUG